GGAGUUAGCCGGUGCUUCUUCUGCGAGUAACGUCACAGAUGUAAGGUAUUAACUUACACCCUUUCCUCCUCGCUGAAAGUGCUUUACAACCCGAAGGCCUUCUUCACACACGCGGCAUGGCUGCAUCAGGGUUUCCCCCAUUGUGCAAUAUUCCCCACUGCUGCCUCCCGUAGGAGUCUGGGCCGUGUCUCAGUCCCAGUGUGGCUGAUCAUCCUCUCAGACCAGCUAGGGAUCGUCGCCUAGGUGAGCCUUUACCUCACCUACUAGCUAAUCCCACCUGGGCUUAUCCAUCAGCGCAAGGCCCGAAGGUCCCCUGCUUUCCCCCGUAGGGCGUAUGCGGUACUUAGCAGUCGUUUCCAACUGUUAUCCCCCACAAAUGGGCAAAUUCCCAGGCAUUACUCACCCGUCCGCCGCUCGUCAUCUUCAAAAGCAAGCUUUUGAAAUGUUACCGCUCGACUUGCAUGUGUUAGGCCUGCCGCCAGCGUUCAAUCUGAGCCAGGAUCAAACUCUGA
rnacentral:rRNA from 1 species